rnacentral:rRNA from 1 species
AACGAACGCUGGCGGCAGGCUUAACACAUGCAAGUCGAACGGGUGUAGCAAUACAUCAGUGGCAGACGGGUGAGUAACACGUGGGAACCUUCCUAGGGGUACGGAACAACUCAGGGAAACUUGAGCUAAUACCGUAUACGUCCGUGAGGAGAAAGAUUUAUCGCCCUUAGACGGGCCCGCGUCGGAUUAGCUAGUUGGUGGGGUAACGGCCUACCAAGGCGACGAUCCGUAGCUGAUCUUAGAGGAUGAUCAGCCACACUGGGACUGAGACACAGCCGAGACUCUUGCGGGAUGCACCAGUGGGGAAUCUUGGACAAUGGGCGCAAGCCUGAUCCAGCCAUGCCUCGUGAGUGAUGAAGGGCUUCAGAUUGUAAAGCUCUUUUGCCAGGGACGAUAAUGACGGUACCUGGAGAAUAAGCCCCGGCAAACUUCGUGCCAGCCGCCGCCGUAA